AUGAGAUCACCUCAUCAGCCUUGUGGGAGGGCGGCUGGACUUUCGUUUACCGCUGCAUCGCGGCUUGGAACUCAGAGCAAUCCUACAACAGCCAGUCUCAUUUGUAGGAAAGGUUUCAGGACCCUGCCCACAGCAGGACAGAGACUAGUCCCGCGGCUUAAGGGAAAAUCGCGCGCAGCGUUUCCCAGGCUCCCCGAAGUGGCCCCCAGAGGGAUCAGGAGACCCGGUUCUAUCCGGCAACUUGGUGUCCCUGUCCUGCAGCGACGUGUCCUGGAUGCCACAGCAGUGGCGCCCACGGCGCCUGCGAGCUGCCCUCGUGAAGGCCGAGGCCGCGGAGAGCGCGGGCCCCUGGGCGCGGCGGGCGGCGGGCGGCGGGCGGCGCACGCAGGUCCCGGGCAGGAGGGGAGCGCCGGGGCCGCGGCCAGAGCGGGCUCCCCCGCGGAGGGGGCCGGCCCGGCCCGAGGGUCCCGCUGCCGCCCGCCCGCCCGCCCGCCCGGCCGCCCCGGGCAGCUCCGCGCGCGGUGCCGGGCCCGUGCUUCGCCUUUCCCGGGCUCCGGGCGGCCGCGGCCAGAGGCCCGGGGAGCUGCGCGCACGCCGCCUGCUCUCCGCCCGCAGCGCGGGGCCCCGGGCCCGGGACGGCGCGGACGCCGGGGGCUGGGGGCGCGCAUCAGCCCCGGGGCCCGCACUGCCCGCGCCCUCCCGGCGGCCGGAUGCCCCCUGCUGCCUGCCGCGCUGCCCCCCGCCCCGGGCGCCCGGAACAGGCGGGACCAUCACGGGGACGCGGGCGCCGACCCAGGGGACCCUGGAGGCCACCCCUCCUGCAGCCCGAGCUCCCGCAGCCCAAAGGAUACGCCGGUCCUGGGCGGAGGUCUGGCCGAGGUGUCCCAGCACGACGCGCAGGCGGGCGGCUGCCUGGCGCUGGUUCAUGGCCGCGACAGGAGACGGCUCAGCAGGGUCUCGGGCGUCGGCCUCCGCCUAGGCCUCGGCCUCGUUCCGGGCGGCGGGCGGGGCGACGAGCGGACGUCGGUCUGGAGGAGGGCGUGGAGCGCCCGGAUUCUGCGUGGUGCGGAGAUGCCCCGGGCCUCCUGGGUCCACGCACUGGGCGCCCCGGGCGGAGAGGAUGGAUGCCCGCACACCCUGCUCCUCGAGAUCGCAGAGAUCCUUUCAAGGGCUUCUAACCCGGUGAAGGUCGUCCAGGGAGAAAUGAGCCAACACAUGACCCAUGCUCCCAACCGGGACUUUCAGUCUGUUUAA
rnacentral:lncRNA from 1 species